UUGCAGGGUAUAGACCCGAAACCCGGUGAUCUAGCCAUGGGCAGGUUGAAGGUUGGGUAACACUAACUGGAGGACCGAACCGACUAAUGUUGAAAAAUUAGCGGAUGACCUGUGGCUGGGGGUGAAAGGCCAAUCAAACCGGGAGAUAGCUGGUUCUCCCCGAAAGCUAUUUAGGUAGCGCCUCGUGAAUUCAUCUCCGGGGGUAGAGCACUGUUUCGGCUAGGGGGCCAUCCCGGCUUACCAACCCGAUGCAAACUGCGAAUACCGGAGAAUGUUAUCACGGGAGACACACGGCGGGUGCUAACGUCCGUCGUGAAGAGGGAAACAACCCAGACCGCCAGCUAAGGUCCCAAAGUCAUGGUUAAGUGGGAAACGAUGUGGGAAGGCCCAGACAGCCAGGAUGUUGGCUUAGAAGCAGCCAUCAUUUAAAGAAAGCGUAAUAGCUCACUGGUCGAGUCGGCCUGCGCGGAAGAUGUAACGGGGCUAAACCAUGCACCGAAGCUGCGGCAGCGAACGUAUCACC
rnacentral:rRNA from 1 species